rnacentral:lncRNA from 1 species
GACCAGAUAGUGUGUCUUAAGGAUUACAUGUUCAGGAAUCACCUAUGUGAGCGUAAAGUAUAAGCCGUUUCAAGGAGAAUGAAAGUAAAGGCCCAUUCUCUAAGCACUCAUGAAACUGGGCGGUGUUCAUGGCUGAAACGAACACAACCAUGAGAACCACAGAUGUUUAAAGAUUGAGUGUGACUUAUGUUGUCUAGGUAUACAACAAAACUCGGCGGUUCAAAGAUAUCAAAUCUACCAAUUGACCAAGUUUAUCC